AAGUGGAGAGAACUGGCUGUUGCACAAUUGAGUUAAUGCUAAAUCAUUUGCAUGUGGAAUUUGGUUUCAUUCGAGUGAGACGAGAGGAAGCUGUGCAUUGUGGAGUUUGCCUGUUGGCCUCUGGGUUGCAGACAAAGCCACUGGAUUCUGUGGUCCCUCCGGAAGGCCAGUCAUUUCCUGAGGAGAUAUCAGGCCAGCCCAGACCUCAUUGUUCUUGGUUUCCAGCUAUGGCCACCAUUACCUGACAAGUACCAGAGUUGGUCUCUCUGUGGGCGCCUAAAGAAGCCGCCAGAGUAGUUUCUGCUUUUCACACAGAGGAUUUCUGGUCUGUGACGGAGAAGAGAAUUCUGCCCCUGAGGCAUGGCCAGAAGGCAGAACUAACUGUGAACCUCAGUCUGAGACAAUCUUCCUCUCAAGAUGCAGCUGAGGUGGGCCUCAGUCAGCAAGAUGCACCAGGCGGUCCUGCUAACACUGCUUCUCUAUUCAAGCCUCCAGGCUCAGGAGAACUCUUUCACCAUUAACAGCAUCCACAUGAAAAGCCUGCCGUCCUGGGAGAUACCGAACGGGUACAGCGUGACCCUGGAGUGCCUUGUGGAUAUCAGCACCACCUCGAAAGUCAGGUCCCAUCACCAGGUGCUGUUCUAUAAGGAUGAAAUGCUGUUGUUCAACAUCUCCUCCACGGAGUACACAGAGAGCAUCUUCAUUCCCCAGGCUCGGGUCUUCCAUUCAGGGAGGUACAAAUGCACCGUGGUCCUGAACAGCAAGGAGAAAACCACCCAAGAAUAUCAGCUGUUGGUGAAAGGCGUGCCCAGCCCCACUGUGACACUGGACAAAAAGGAGGUGACAGAAGGUGGAGUUGUGACUGUCAAUUGUUCUGUGAAAGAAGAACUGCCACCGAUAUAUUUUAAGAUUGAAAAAGUAGAACUGGGUACAAAACUUGUGAAGCAAAUAAGAGACAAGACUUCGAACCAGAAUUUCGUGGUAAUGGAUUUCCCCAUCGAGGAGCAGGACCACGUGCUAGUGUUCCGAUGUCAAGCUGGGAUCAUGUCCGGGAUCCAAAUGCAGACCUCAGAAUCCACCCGGAGUGAAUACGUUACGGUGCAGGAGUCCUUCUCUACUCCCAAGUUUCUAAUCCACCCUUCUGGAGUGAUCAUAGAAGGAGACCAGCUAUACAUUAAGUGCACAGUUCAAGUGACACACUUGGUCCGGGAAUUUCCAGAAAUUAUAAUCCAAAAGGACAAGACUAUUGUGGCCACCUCCAAACGGAACAUUGAGGCUCUCUACUCAGUCAUGGCCACGGUGGAGAAUAGUGGCCAUUAUACCUGCAAAGUGGAAUCUAACCGCAUCUCCAAGGUCAGCAGCAUCAUGGUCAACAUAACAGAGCUGUUUCCCAAACCGAAGCUGCAAUUCUCCUCCAAAGAAGUGGACCAAGGGAAAAUUUUGGAUCUGUUUUGCUCUGUCCCGGGCAUACCUUCAGUCAACUUCACCAUCCAGAAGGAAACAAUGAUCUUGUCUCAGGAUCAGAAUUUCAGCAAGAUUGCCGAGGACAGAGACAGUGGGAUGUACAGCUGUACCGCAGGCAUCGGCAGAGUGGUCAAGCGGAGCGACCCGGUACACAUAAAGGUGUGCGAAAUGCUGUCUAAGCCUAGGAUAUUUCAUGAUGCCAAGGCUGAGAUCAUAAAAGGACAUGCCAUAACCAUCAGCUGCCAGUCUGUAAAUGGAACUGCACCUGUCACUUACCACCUUAUAAAAGACACAAAUGUCUUCCUGGAUCGCAUGGUGACCUCCAAUGACCCAGCAGCAUUCACAGAUGAGCCCAUCGAAGAUGUGGAAUACCAGUGCAUGGCGAACAACUGCCAUUCCCACCCUCAGUUGUACAGCGAGACCCUGAGGGUCAAGGUGAUAGCCCCGGUGGACGAAGUUACGAUUUCUAUCCUGUCAAGUAACGAGGUUCCGUCUGGGAAUGAAAUAGUACUUCGAUGCUCUGUGAAAGAGGGGACUGGCCCAAUCACGUUCAAGUUUUACAAAGAAAACGAUGACAGACCCUUCCACGAAACCACCCUGAAUGACACCCAAGCAUUUUGGGUUGAGAAACAAGCCAGCAAGAAGCAGGAGGGACAGUACUAUUGCACAGCCUCCAACAGAGCCAGUCAUUCGAGCAGCCCGCGAAGCAACAGUCUAACGGUCAGAGUCUUUCUUGCUCCCUGGGUGAAAGGACUCAUUGCAGUGGUUGUCAUUGGAGCAGUCAUCGCUGCGUUGAUAGUUGCAGCCAAAUGCUACUUCCUGAGGAAAGCCAGAGCCAAACAGAAACCCGUGGAGAUGUCCAGGCCGGCAGCUCCGCUUCUGAACUCCAACAGUGAGAAGGUUUCUGAGCCCAAUGUGGAAGCCAACAGUCAUUAUGACCCCCAGAAUAAGGAUGAUGUGGAAUACACAGAAGUACAAGUGUCCCUCCCUGCACCUCACCAAGCCUGGGACCCCAGACCGCGACACACCACCUCAAUUAACCCAAUUUAGAAACUUCCUCACAGACAUGCCUAGAGGUAAAGCUUCCAUGAUGUCGUGGAAAACAGAUAUUCUAGAACGGGAAACUCCCUUGAUGGAACUUAAGACAACCAAGACAGGUGCCUGUGCCUGGGAGAACAUUCACGUCCCAAGAAGAGCAGCCGAUUCCCAUAUUCCAAGAGUCCUGUGCACUUAUUUAGGAACCGGCCCUGCCCACACUGAAAGUAGCAUUUCUUCAGGCCAAGCCAUCCAUUCUUAAAUCUCUUACCUUAUUAAUGUUGGGUAUAAAGAGAAUCAGCGGGGCAGUUUAGUGGCCAGCCAAAUCAUUCUUCCAAGCUGGAGCAUCCUUGCAAUUUGGAAGAGUGAGAGGAGGUUGGGGUGAACAAACCUCUGGAAUUUUUUGAAGGUCAAAUACCACAUCUCAGAGAGACAACGUGCUUUUUCACGUGCCUCCUACACAGAAGCCUGUUUUUGUCCUGUAGUCAGUUACUUUUAGCGAAUGGUCUGGACUCCGGGGUUAGAAUUUUUGUUUUGUUUUCUUUCUGUCUUUCUUUUUCCUUCUGGGCUGGCCUUGUUCUUUGGACAUAUACAGUGCUGCUCAGACAGUCACCUGUCGCCUGUAUGGUGACUUCACUCACGAACAGGGAUGGGGGUGGGCAGCUGACUGGCUGCAGUGCCUGUGAAGCAGCAACUUGAAGGCAAGCCACAGGCAGGCGAUGCCACAGCUAGACUGGACAAGCCAGCACAGAAGUCCUUUAACUGAUUUCCAGGUCUUUCUUUUCCUCUCCCUUGCUGCAGGCCUAAAGAGGAGAAAUGAUUGGCUACAGCAAAUGGAGUUUUUUUUUUUUUUUCUUUUAAUAGUAAAAGGAAAUGUGUACUUUCCCCACUAAUUUUUCUUUAUUUAUUCCCUGCUAAAGAAAUGGUCUCCUGAGGUCCCUGGCUGUUUUCCAAGGGUGGCCUGAGUGGGGGAUGGGAGCUGCCUCCGUGUUGCUGUGGAACAUUCAUAUCUAAACAUCAUCUUCCCUGUUUGCCUCAGCCAUCCAGCUGCAGGGCCCCUGAGGGGUGUUGUAUUAAAUAAAAUU